AUGGAAACACAGAGGAGCAACAGAGCACUGACUAAGGCACCACCUCAGCGGCUUCAUUACCUUUGGAUUAGACAAAGAGGACAAAACGAGGGAGAAGCAUCAGAAGACCAAGAUCUCGGAGGAAGGAAUACAAAAGAGAAUAGAUGCCUGGAACCACAGGGAUGGACAGAGAAAACACAAGUGCUAAAACAAAUGGUGAUGUGUUCAAGAGCAGGCACUGAGGUCAAGCCAUCUGUGCCUUCAGUACAUGCUAAAAGUAAAGUAAUGCUUUUGACCCAUAUAAUGGUAGGAGAGGCAAAGACACAGUUUGGGCAAAUAAAACCAAGCAAAAAUAUAAAGAAAGUUGGAGUUGAGGAGGAAAGGCAUCAUAAAACCAAAGAAAAAUGGUUUAUUACAGAAAGAAGAAUCCACACUAAGGAUAUCAGUCUUGUAAGUCAUUACACAAGCAUCAGUACUCUGAGUGCCAUGAGAUAUAAGAGGCAGUAUGAUGCAGAGGGAGGAACAGAAUACCUGGAGGGCCCAUGCCAAGGUGUCCACCUGAAGAAUCAAGCCAUGCCACAGACCUAGUAUACAAAAGAUUUUUUUCAGGGGGAGGGGGUAGGGACCUGGGAAGGGAUAGAGGUAGAGAAAGUAGGGAGAAGGAAAGAAAGAGAGAGGAAGAGAGAAAGAAGAGAGGCCAACUAGGAACACUUAGGAAAACAGAAAGAGUGGAAGAAGAAAGAGGAUUAGGGUAGUAAGCAGUCCUCUUAUAUGCUACCACACCCAGCUUCCACCUUGGAGAGGAGGAGAAUGCAGGUUGUUGCUAGGUAGCUGUUGGGCAGAGCCUAGCAGAAUUGUCUGUAUGCCAAUACGGGAAGCUCUACAAAGUGUUAGAAGGAAAACAUUUGUAUGAGACUUUGAUUAAACCUUCUUCAAACAAAUGUGAAAUAACAGAAGAUCAAUCUAAGACACACACACACACACACACACACAUACACACACACACAGCCCUUUGAGCUUCAGAUAGUGUCAAAGUGAAAACACUGAAAUCUGAAAAUCGAGAAUCAAGUUCAUGGGUGAAUUAAUCCUUCAUAAAAAUGUCAAAUUACUUAAUAAAGGUGAUAUAGAACAAGCCCA
rnacentral:lncRNA from 1 species